GCGGGGGUAGCCGAGCAGGACAAAGGCGCAGGACUUAAGAUCCUGUUUCGUAGGAAUACGAGGGUUCAAAUCCCUCCCCCCGCA
rnacentral:tRNA from 2 species